AGACUGAAUGUUCAUUAGUUGCAUUAUUGCAGUGAGUUAGACAGGCCAUGCAGUCCGGCCCAAGCGGCAGAAACAACACGGUUUCAUGAUAUAGUCAGUUUGCCUUGGAGCAUUUCAAACCAAACAAGUUUUCUAGUCAGUGAGGAAAAAAAACAUUUGGGGAAAGUUCAGCUAAUCCAACCUUGUCAUUUAUGAGUUUGGUCACAGAACUGUAUGUAAGCCUAAGUAUGGUUUUAACAAGUAAUUCAACUUUUGCCUUUGAUUAAGCCCUGACAAUAGCCUAUAAUAUUAAACUAGGCUAUAAAGUACAUCUGAAUGAGCUAACAACCUCUUUCAGUGUAUAGGAUAGCCUAGAUAUUAUUGAAUGAUUAAUAAUCUUGUCGUAAUUCACUCUAUGGCUAGUCAUAGUCUCACACCUCAGGAGGAGAUAUCCAAACAGUGCUAAAUGUUAUUAUUAUCCUUUACGUCCAAUAUCCUCCAACCAAUGUUCCCUCUCAUUUUUUGGGGCACUGAGCAAAUUUGAAGUCUUGAACGCUGUGAAAUUUCUGUGGAACUUCAAGCGCGUUUACUGUGAGCACUGAGGCUGUACCCACUUUACAGAUACAGUUUCAGACAGUGGUCAAGUAGGCUACUGUGGUUAUUUGAUCAUAAUGUAGGCCUACCAUCAAAAACAAUGGAGAAAAGUCAUCCCAUAACAUUUUAACAUGGAAAUAGCGGUUCUAUCAUUCAGCCUACAGAAGCAGCCAAUGUGUGGUGUUCAAUGUAUGCCUACAUUCCAUUAGACUUUUGAAUAGAAGAAUAGCCUGUUAAUCCACUUGUCCUUCAGACAAGGAGGUGACAGAAAAUAUUGUUGUGUUAUUGAUGAUGCAAGAAACCACUUUACAAAAUAAAAUGCAUUAUUAUUCCCAUACCAUUAUAACAGAGAAUCAGCCAAAUUAUGCUACCCUCUGCCUAUUGGCUACUUAGUUUAUUUAAGCCUGUCUCAAAAUACAACACUGCCCCUUUAAGACAAAAACAAACUCUUUACCCGACUCGCUUUUCAAAUAUGUCUAGAAAUGUACACACGUUUUGUGCUCUUGUAGGAAGCAAUCACUCUCCUAUUGCUGACUACAAAUUAUCUAUAACUGGUAUAAUAACUCACUAACUAGCAAAGGAUAUGAACAAAUGUGCACACGUGGCUACAUGCAGCUCUCACAUUGAUCUCAAAACAGGCGCAUCUACUCAUGCUGUAAACACAGUCCAGUUCAAAGUGAACGGCACAGAUCCAUAUAUGGCAAUGGUGUAUUUGCAUAUAGGCCUACUGCAGUUCUGAUUGGUUAUGCCACACCGGUCUGUGUAGAGGACUGGCUGAGUGAUUCGUGCCAAUGCAAUAGAAUCCUACUCAGAUGCGUUCUGCCUACAACAAAAUCUCUUACAUAGUUCGUUUUGCAUACUAAGUCAUGCACAGUUGGUUUUGUUUCGGUAUGUUCCAUUGAAAGUGGUUAAUAUUGCGUUGAUUCGAUCACAAAGUAAAGGGAACAUUGAUAGUGUUAACUGAAGGGGAAAACUCUAGAAAGUUGAGUGAAGUUGAAUCUCGUGCUUCUCUCCUCAGGCUGAUAUUUCUUCUGAGAGGCAGUCUCGGUCCCACCCACGCGCACAGCUUAAAGGGAACAACCCUAAUGAUCAGGGAAAUACAGUGAAGUACAGUUGGAAGCUGCAAUCAAGUGGAUCUAGAUAGGGGCUCUGUUGUCUUCUUACAGUGAGAUAUCCGUCAACUUUGCCACGGAGGCGCUCCCUCUCAUGCACACACCAUCUCCUCUCCAAGUCAAUUAGCAGUUACCUUGCACUCCACGUUAGCGCUAGCUAGCGUCUUGCUCUGGUGCUCACAUCAGGCCAGACCACUGGCGUGACAUGUCAACUCAGCGGAGCUGGUGGAAUAUUGAAGGUCCUCUUAAAGGUCCUCGUCUUGUCCCAGUUUAAUUAAAUGCAUAUUGCACGAUUGGCCUAUGGAGGAAUUCUUAUUUUGAUUUUGGCUGCAAUCAAAACAGGAAUAAUCAUAAUAGUAGUGACAAAUAGGAAAAUCUAUAAAACUUGAUUCUGAAGUAGUUUCCUCUGGUUCAUUAUAAAUCUCAUUAGAAGUGUUGUUGGAAGAGUUUGUGCUCUAGACUUUAAUCCUGACUCCUGUGCUCAUGCCUAUGCUGUAUUGCCGUGGUGGUAAACAACAUCUCUCACCCAGGCCACCUCUGUGCCCGAGACGAUUGUUUCUCUGUGGUGGCUGAACUAAACAGUGGUGAUGGCGCAUGGAGAGGAUGAGGUGGUGGUGGGGGGCUCAGUGUUAAUUAGCAGAGAGCUGCACAACAGGGGGCACACCACCUCAUUGAGGGUCACUUCAGCCGGCUCACAGAAAUCACAGUGGCUCACAGAAAUCACAGUGGCUCACAGAAAUCACAGUGCCUCACAGAAAUCACAGUGGCUGACAGAAAUCACAGUGGCUCACAGAAAUCACAGUGGCUGACAGAAAUCACAGUGGCUCACAGAAAUCACAGUGGCUCACAGAAAUCACAGUGGCUGACAGAAAUCACAGUGGCUGACAGAAAUCACAGUGGCUGACAGAAAUCACAGUGGCUGACAGAAAUCACAGUGGCUGACAGAAAUCACAGUGGCUGACAGAAAUCACAGUGGCUGACAGAAAUCACAGUGGCUGACAGAAAUCACAGUGGCUGACAGAAAUCAGUGGCUGACAGAAAUCACAGUGGCUGACAGAAAUCACAGUGGCUCACAGAAAUCACAGUGGCUGACAGAAAUCACAGUGGCUGACAGAAAUCACAGUGGCUGACAGAAAUCACAGUGGCUGACAGAAAUCACAGUGGCACUGCUGUUGCCGGACUCCCCCGCCCCGCAGCCCACCUUUAGCCCAUCACAGCCAAACAUGCGGCAGGCAACUACCUCCCGUGGCACUAGUCUCAAAUAGCAUGAAUGGAGAGAGGAAUGGAUAGCCUAUGAGAGAUGAGCCAAACUUGCUGAAACUGGAGGCCAGUAACACUGGCAUGCACUGACUACAAUUUUCUGGUGAUAACUUAACCCGGUAGAAUGGUGACAUAUGUCACAAGAUUACCUUAAAAUCUGCUUUAGUUCCUUAUGUCAUUGAUCUAUUCUGUUCUGGUCUUGAAUGUGCUUUAUUGUGUAGGUGGAAAGAUGCUGUGCAACAUUUGUUUGAUUUUCAUUUAAAGUUCAUUCACAUGCCCCAUACUGUUUAUUGUCAGCUUAUGCAACCUAAUCAUAAUUACAUGUAUGGUUGCCCUGGACAAUGCCUGGUAUGGAAUUCAUGCUCUGCACAAAUUAUAGCGAUUCGAUGGAUGCUCUGUACAUGUAUCUUUUUGUCCCAUCAAAGCACUUCUAGUUAUUUUAACAUGUCUAGUGUUUGUUGACUCCUAUUGUCUCUGUGUCCUGUUAAAAUGUAUUUAAUGUCUUUACUCAAUUGUGGGACUUGUCUUUUUUUGUUAGUCAUUUUUGGGUCAUGAUUACGGUCUUGUCUCAUUGCUGAAACUCCCAAACGGGCUCGGGAGAGGCGAAGGACGAGUCAUGCAUCAUCAGUCUAAACAUGACCCACCAAGCCAUGCUUCUUAACACCCGCUCGUUUAACCCAGAAGCCAGCUGCACCAAUGUGUCGGAGGAAACACCAUUUUUUUUGUGUGUAUGAACACCAGGUAGGUUAGCUGUCAUCAUGGCGUCAGCUAAUGGGAAUCCCAAUAAAUAAUAAACUUGUUCUUGUAGUACUAGGGCUGUGACGGUCACAAAAUUUUGUCAGCCGGUGAUUGUCAAGAAAAUAACUGUCGGUCUCACGAUAAUUGACAGCUAAUUAACAUAAACACAUAGCAUCUCCUGGCUUCCACACAUAGCCUACAAGCCACCGAUGCCGAUCUUUGGAACAUGUACAUUUUUAAAAGUCUAAUAAAUCCAUGUAAUAUAGCCUA